AAAAAAUAUACUUUAGAUAUAGGACGCAACAGUGACUGCCCACUUUUUGAAAGGCUCUGGUUUCGGAAGUGAGUUACCCAUUCAUUUACUCCAUUGCCAUUUCAUAAAAUCCUUAUACAAAGAAUUUAAACUUGUAACCAAUCCAAUAAACCAUGAGAUGAAUUGUUACCAUAAAACAUUUUAUUUGGCGCAAAAAAAAGGAAAAUGGGUAAAAAGGUUAAAGUGUACAUAACUAUUUUAACAGCGAAGGAACUACUGGUUCCAUAAACCUUUUGAAUGCCUUUCCGACUACUUCCAACUGACAGUUUAGCUACUUCUUGAAUUCAACCUUCAUCAUCAUCACUAUAGUGUUUAUAUUGUUGAUAAGAGUCUUGUAAUGUAUUGCAGCUUGUGUUUUGUGUGCGUAUAUAGUGUAUAACCACCGUAGAGUUAAGUCGUAGCGUUCCAGUUGCAACCUCCGACUCGUAGGUCUGUAAAUCUGAGUUCCAAGGUAUAAUGGAACGCAGCAUCACGAGCUGACAUGAAGUUUGUGGGUGUAGUUAGCGUUUACAUGUUUACAGCGAGCUCCACCAAUCGGAGACGUCAAUGUUACAACUUAGGUUAGUGGUUAGUGUAGUAUUUCUCAAUGACUUUGCGAAUAAAACUUUUUUACAACGUUUAACAACGUCGUAGCUCGUGGUAAGUCUACAUUGGAUUGUUCCAACAUCAUGGCUAACAAUUAAAAUGUUAAUGGAGAAUAUGAAUGGGAUUUUCACUUCCGGAACCUCACUUUUUCUAUUCUCUGCCUCAUUUCAGUCAUUUCAGAGUUUGGCUCAGGUGAUCUUGUGUAAAUUAUCAAACAGGCUUUUAUGUCUCUCUUCAUCACCACAGCUCAUUCAUUUGUGCAGCGUCUCAGGCUGCAGGAUCACUCCAGCAGCAGGAGACAGAAAGUGGCUCAGUCCAUCAGCAGGGUCCAGCAGAUGAAGAAAGGUUCCUCUGGUUCUCCCCCCAGGUGUUCACCAACCCUGAACCAGGUGAAUCCAGACAGGAGGAGGUUAAGGCGAGGGGAGACGGUGGAGGUCAGCAGCCCCUCAGGAAGCCUUCACGCUGGCCCCCGGCGAGGAGAGCGGCCCCUGGGACGAUGUCACACCCUGGACUCUGGAGAACGCUCGCCAUGGCGGCUGGAGUCUACACUGCCCUGCAACACAACUGAAUGCAAUCCGGAAGAGAGCGGUCAGACUGUUUACACACACACACACAAAACAGCUGACGUCACUCUGGCAGCAGGUCUUCACACGUCCAGAGAUACAGACGAAACACACUCCACUGAUGUCUCCAGCUAUAGCACAGGUAGCGAGACCUCACCAUCUCCGCCAUCUAACAUGUCGUCACAUGAUGAUUAUUUGUUUGACGCCCCUCCCACACACAUCCUAGCUAAACCUUCUGCUUCACACGAGUCGGACGAGCCGUCGCACGUCAACAGCCAAAGCCUCUGUCCUGUUACCGGAACAUUAGCGGAGCCAUCUGAUGAUCACACUCGGCCUUGUGUCGACGCUGAGGCCUCACAGUCAGAAGGAAAAGAUGGGAACUCCAACCCCACCCACCCCGCUGACCUCCACCCCCCCGUCCAGAAGUCAAAUGGAUUCAACUAGCUGCUGGUUGUAGCUAAAAACUGUCCACAAUUUUCACUUCACAGAAACACACAUACAUUGUAAUAGGUUAAAGGGUCAGUUCACUCAUAUUACAAAAAAACAUAUGCUCUUCCAUACUGUACCUGUAGUUGGAUUUAGUCAUGCAAGUUGGAUUUAUAUGUCCUGGUCGCGUAUGUCUGCCUCCACUUCCGUACAGUAGAGAUUAAUUAAGUUGCGUUUGUAUAGUUAACAACAUGAGACACUAGAAUCAGUCUCUUCUUUAAAUGCAUUGAGACUCGAAAGUAGCAUAGUGGUAAAUUAACAAUUAAUUCCAGUUUAUCAGACACAACAACACUGCACAGGCGUUCAUAUCAUUAUGGACAGGUUAUAAAGAGUCAUCACAGCUGCAAUUAUUUUAUCCCCCGUCUCCACCGUGGCGAUGAAAACAUAUCUGAAUUGUCCACUUGCACAUACUUAACUGUGUUAUUAAAAAGUAACCGCAAAACUGUUUGCAGAAAGGGAUGUUGUUUCCAUGUUUCCUUUCCCCUCUGCUGUGCCAAGCUGGAGGCAGAAAUCUCAGAGACAAUGAUUGAACAAAAAUAUAAUUGUAUCUCCAUAGAAAGUAAAGAGAUUGGAAUAACUAACCCUUUAAAGUCAAAAUUAAAUGUGAAAGCGGCGGCGUCGUGUGUCUGACACAUCUCUGACAGCGCACACACAAAUCCCCAGGUUUUUUCCCUGUUGUUGUUGUUGUUGAUGUUUUUAUGCUCAGUCUUAGCGGAGAGACUUGAUUCAGAGAGAUUUGAAGUAGCUGUUGUGACAUAAAUGGCAGAAAAAUGUAUGCCAUAUUUGUUUUCUAACCACCCCCUCCCCCCGGAAAAAAAACCCAUAACGUUUUAGUAGUUCAUUUUGUUGAUAUGAAUAGAUGUACACCCAAAAAACUGCUUUAGACACUUGAAUCAAAUCAAACGGCCUAUUCCUUCCUAACCAACAUCCUGUUGACUAAAACUUUGUUUCUUUAUUUCAAAAACAUCAACAACAUAACUGAAUACACACAAAACAUGUUUAGGAACUGAGGUUGAUUCUGCUUGCGUAUCACAUCAUUUCAUUGUGACUUUAGCAGUGAUAUUAACAGACCUGAGGAUUUUUCCCACUGAAAACUGCUGUGUAGCAGCUCCUGUAUCUCCUCCUCCUCCCCCUCCUCCCCUUGAGUGGGAAGCACUUCUUCUAGCCUAAAGAAAAAGGGAUGCAAACUGCCGUUGUUUUAGUUUCAUACUGUAUCGAAUGUUGUUGCUUUAGCUUUUUUGAAGCCACUAGACUGUAACUCUGAUCUGAGAUUUUGUUUUUUACUUGAAUACUAGUUGUUUGUUAGAUUUCAGUGUAUCAAAAAUGGAUUUGAUUGUCAGGGAGGUUUGUCAUUUUCCCCUGUAUAACAUCUUACUUAUCCAUGUACUGUUUUAUUAGGAUACAUUUUAAUUUUAUUUAUGACCUUUGCUGUCAGGAAUGUGUGGUGUGUUCAGAGAGGUUUGACUUCUCCUGAAUGUUAGAAUGAGUUUCCUUACUGUCUAAGAGCAAGUUCAAAGGUCACACCACUGGUUCUGCAUAUUUCCCAUCCAUUAAUUACAAAUCUUUUAUUUUACAUCACUGCUGGUAAUUCAUGUCAUCAGAUUUUAGGUUUAUUUAAGCCACCUAAGUUUGUUUCCAUGAAAAUCAACUUGAAACUUGCUACUUUUUUCCAAGAGUUAAAUUUGAACUGAAUGGUAGUGUGUUUGGUUAAUAUACGUUUACUACACACUGUAUGUGUAUAUACUAUACAUAUAUAUAUUUGGUUCAUUUUAGGCAAAAUGUGAAAAGAAUACUCAACUAUAAUAAAAGACUGGUUAUGUUUCACACAUAAUACAAAGUGCUACACAGAGUAAAAAAAAAGAUGGAUGGAUCCAUGAUGAAACCUUAAAAUACAGCAACACUACGAUUACAAGGAUAAACAAGAUCAGCAUGACAUCACAAAAUAUAAGUACAGCACUUUAUUAUCCUCAAAGCUGCCAAUUGUGUUGCAUUCACCAACACUGAAAACAAACAAACAAAAACCGGCCCUGUAAAUGCAACAUGAAUGAAUGAAUAAAGUAAUUAUCUAUCUAUCUAACAAUGACUGAUGUUCAUGGUGAGAAACCACAUUCAGUGGCAAAGAAAACUUACAUUCAGCACCUUCAACAACACAAAUGUGUCAAAUAUUUUUGAUUCAACUUGAUGAAUACUACAUCAGCCCCCAGAUGGUGACAUAAAGCUGCAUGUUCUGCUCUAUUUGGCAAGUUCAUGCACAGAAACAUCAUCCGCUGGUAAAAAAGGACUUCUUUACAUUAGCGGAAAAACAACACUGUAGAAGUCGUAAUGAGAAGACAUGAGUAUUUUGAUUCAUAAAUGCUGUAAAUUUGGAAAUGUAAAUUCACCUCUGAGUAAUUUGGCAGCCACGAUGUACAUCACAAUGAUGUAAAACUGAUAAAAGUUUAGUUUUACGUGCAUGAAGAGCUCAGUAAUGUAAAUGUAAUGCAGAACAGUGACUGAAGAUUUCACAUCAUGAUAUGCUAUACAUACAAAAGUAUAUCUUCCAUAUAUCAUUCAGUUUUGGUGGUUUUACCCAUCUCAAGCAAGUAGAUUUAAAAAAAAAAAGAUGUACUGAAAUAAUUGAAACAAAUGGCUGCCGCGGGUAGAUAAAACUAAAAACGGAUGGUAUAAGUGUGAAAUGUAAUCAGUGGUGAUGUAAAAUUGAAUGUAGUUAAUGAGUCAAAUAAAACAUGCGAAACCAUCAGGUUGUUCCUAUAACAUCAGAAGAUAUUUAACCUUAUUUAAUACAAAUGUAUUACAGCAUAAUGAAGUCAUAAUGCAGUAAUGUAUAACUGUCAGUGUUACUGUUCACAUUAAUUUCACAUGGUUCACUUAUCUCACUGUAUGAUUGAUUGAAGACAGUUUGAGUUAGGGUGAAGCUCACUACUUAUACCUGAUACUCUGUGACUCUCCCUCCACCUGUCUGCGGUGUUUCGCCUGUUAAACAUGCAAACAGUGUCUUUGUGUUUCACAUGGAUGACGAGUCAAGUCUCUGUCAUUUUUCUAUCCGUUUUUCUAUCCAGGUUUGGUUUUUAAAGCUGAUGUGAAUGUGAAUGUGCCUUAUUUAAGUCACUCCCAAAUAACCAAUAAUAAACCUAUCAUUUGAACUAUGAUUUAGACUCUGUUUUAUCUGUGGUGGUGGUGGUGGGGGGGGUGCUGAAAAACUACAAUAGUACAAUAUAUUGGUGUAUUUAGACCAUAUUCUGUGGCAAUAAGUACACAAAAGGACAGAUAUAUAUUUUUGUGGGUAUUUAAAAAGUACAAUAAUUGAAAAUUCCACAGUUGCACAUUCCCAACAAUCACGUUUUCCUUUUACAAAACCACAAUGACACAUUUAAACACUGAGACUUCACAUAGCUGUGUUGCUGCAGCAUGGUUUUAUAGAAAAAUGUUACUACUUUAAUAUGAAAAUGGGCUGUUUUUGACAGGUUUGGCAAAAAGACAAAGUGAAGGGGCUCGAGAAAAGAGUGAGAUCCUAUUAACUCAAAUGUAUUCCAUUUCCUCUAAGCUGCAGAAUCAAGACUGACAGGUAUAAUUAAAGUUACUUUUUUUAGCAGCAAACUGAUGAAGAUAUGAAAAGAAAAUGUAUUUAAUUCUGUCAAAAGCUGAUUUAUCGGAGUAAUAUUUAACAUUUAGGUGAGAAUAAUAUAGUUUAUGUGGGAUCACCUUAUCUAAUGAUGAAAGAUAAAGUCUGAUCCAUUAUAUAGACAACUGAGACUGACAACAGUGUUUUUCUACUCAAACUCUAUCAUCAUACCACAUAAAAAAUAAACAGAUUAAAGAAAGUGCAUUAUUAGCCCAAGACUAAAUACAUUGUAUUUUUGUAUUAAAGUACAGUUUAUGCUGCCUUUGUUUAUGUAUAAAAUCAUAAAAUACAACACAGGGUUAAAUAUUAGAACACUGGUUUCCAAACAGUUUGACAUGACAAGUUACAAAAAGCAGGGAAAUAUUGUACUUUUUACGCCACCACAUUCAUCUGACAGAUACAGUUAAUAGGAGGUGGAAUGAUUGGUCGUUUGGUGGAUUAUUUGAUGCUGGUAAAUGAUCACUGCCAUUGAAGAAACAAAUGUUGAGUUCAGGGAUUUAACAGUUUAAGACCGAAAGAGGUAUAAAUAAAUAUUUCACACACAAAAAAACAAAAACAAAAAAGAUGAAGAAAUGUCUGAAAAAUCCAUCCAAACAUAUGUAUAUGUUUUUCUUUUCUUUUCCUCAUGUAAGAUUUAUCUGCUGAUCCCCUGGAGGGGCACAACACCUAGGUUGGAAAGCACUGGACUAAAACUACCUAACUAUAAAUAAAGUCUGCUACAACAGUAAAAUGCUGCUGACACAUUUAAAAAGUAAUUCGUCACUCACAGGACGUUGAGUAAAUUAAGUUAAUUAUUUGGGUUCAUCCAUUUUACCUCUAUAGUGCCAAAUCACAGCAUACAUUAUCUCAAGGCACUAGUGAGGUCAAGACGUCACAAUAUUAUAUAGAAAAAGGAGAGGUGGGUGGAAUGAGGGGGAGAGAAGAGGGAGACCAAGAGCAGUUGUGUAACCGUUGCAUUAAGCCUUAUCACAGUGUCAUUUUUUUAUAUAAUUUUUUAUGUGAUGUGUAUCAUUAUUUUUUGAAUUAUGUAUGCUACUUGUGAAAAAAAUAAGUGUGGAUUCAUAUACUGAUAAAUGUGAAUCUGCAGAGAUCUGAGGGUUUGCAUAUUUUACAUGGGGG
rnacentral:lncRNA from 1 species